AGUGAACGCUGGCGGUAGGCCUAACACAUGCAAGUCGAACGGCAGCACAGUAAGAGCUUGCUCUUACGGGUGGCGAGUGGCGGACGGGUGAGGAAUACAUCGGAAUCUACUUUUUCGUGGGGGAUAACGUAGGGAAACUUACGCUAAUACCGCAUACGACCUACGGGUGAAAGCAGGGGAUCUUCGGACCUUGCGCGAUUGAAUGAGCCGAUGUCGGAUUAGCUAGUUGGCGGGGUAAAGGCCCACCAAGGCGACGAUCCGUGGCUGGUCUGAGAGGAUGAUCAGCCACACUGGAACUGAGACACGGUCCAGACUCCUACGGGAGGCAGCAGUGGGGAAUAUUGGACAAUGGGCGCAAGCCUGGUCCAGCCAUACCGCGUGGGUGAAGAAGGCCUUCGGGUUGUAAAGCCCUUUUGUUGGGAAAGAAAAGCAGCAGGUUAAUACCCCGCUGUUCUGACGGUACCCAAAGAAUAAGCACCGGCUAACUUCGUG
rnacentral:rRNA from 1 species